GGUUCAUCUCUGUCCUCGAAAAUUCGAUCAACAACCUGUGCGAUGCUGAUCCGCGUGGAUUUAUCGCGAUAAACGAACGUUACGGUAUAGGGAAGCCGUUCGAUUCCAAUAAGCAUCUCGUUGUUUCUCGUGGAGUCGACUGCUGAUAUUCCGAGAUGAAUAAGAUGAAUCAGUCACUGGUACAAUCGGUUAAUUUCCGAUGGCCGCCGCUCAUAGCACGAGCGUCAUCAGCAGGUGGUCGGUAAAGCCUAAACGUUAUCGUUCUCCUGCCAAUUUCAUAUCGUGGUGCACUAAACACUACGAGUCCUAAUAUAGGCGAUCACACAUAGCGAAGCACGUUACCAUGGGGAUCCGUGGGAUAGCCAACGACUGACCGUGUCCACGGAAGUACGUACGCAACGAUGGUCCUUUGUCGGAAGCGGUUGUUCAAAUACUUUCGUUCAAGUUUGUGUAAACGUGCGUGCAUGCACGUCCCGGAUGAGCUUCCAUACAUUAGGGUCUUGCGUAUUACCAGUCAUUGACGAUGACACGGUCCCACAACGUUCCGGAGAAUGUGCGUUCAUGGUCACGCACGAACCAGGGUCUUCGUCAACAACGAUUGAGUCACGUAUUUUUCGCGUGGGAAAAUUCAUCACAAUUAUCAUCAUCGAGAGUCGAGCUGGCUAAUUAACUCGUCAAGGAAACCGGUGCGAAUGAAUUCCGACCAGAAGAAUAAUCCGACAUCGAGGGAGCCGAUGUGUACACGCGCAUGUUUGUAUUCACGGUCUGUUGAGUGCGGGCGGAUAAUUUGAUACCGUUUCUAGAUUUAAAUGAAGAAAAUCAAUCGCCAAUUGGAGACAUCACCAAAACUGUGUUGGAACAUCGAAUAUCCUCGCUAUUGGAUUCACCUUUCUACGAAGAUAAAAGAUCCAAGUUCAAUCUUAUCCUUCAUCAAAAUGGAUGAAAAAAUUGCCUAAUUGAUUGAUGGAAUUUCGGACCGAAAUAUUCGAAUGUAACGAUUAUUUGAUCAUCGUCAUUAAUUUCAGAUAAUAAUUCAUGUUUUCGUCGGAAAUUGUGCGAAAAUAAUAGAGUAAAGCAUCAAUAAAAACGAAUGGGGCCCCGUCUGCCGUGGAUUCAUUGAGCAAAGUUAAUGACUUUCAGUGAAAUAUAACGAUACGUCGCGUAAUCAUUUGAAUUUGUCGCUCGUGAAAUCACUAAUAAUGCAAACUCUGAAUGCUUGAUAUAAUUAUUGAAGUGCCUGUUGCUUUUUCAGUCUCGCAUUUUUUCCUUCCCGGAUGUCCUAGUAAAAAGGUUGUUCCAACGGUGAGUUGACGUGUUUUCGAUAUCUCUGCGGCACGGAGUUUGUUGUUACAUUAUUAAUCGAUGCGCGUGAUUCUUGAGACGGUUUCUCUUUGUUCGAACGCCGCGGUGUUUAUUAGCAAAAGGUAAUUUAAAUAUGUUUCCCUGAGAUAAAAAAGGAAUGCUAGACAGAGGCCAGAAGCGGUGGAAGACGGAGGGAUAGAGGGUGGCUGAAAUGAUGAAAAGAAAAGAGAAAAGAACAUACUCGCACAAGGGAACGAAUA